GAUGAAGAACGUAGCGAAAUGCGAUAAGUAAUGCGAAUUGCAGAAUCCGUGAGUCAUCGAAUCUUUGAACUCACAUUGCGCCCUCUGGUGUUCCGGAGGGCAUGCCUGUUCGAGCGUCAUUAUCACCCCUCAAGCCCGGCUUGUUGUUGGAUGCAGCGCUUAUCCCGCUCCUCCCAAAGAUAAUGACGGCGUCUGCGACGACUCCUGUACACUGAGCUUUCGGGCACGUACACGGCUAGAAGUCCAGACCCGGUCGCCGUCCCCCCCGCGGGGACACCCAUUACCACAAGGUUGACCUCGGAUCAGGUAGGAAUACCCGCUGAACUUAAGCAUAUCAAUAAGCGGAGGA
rnacentral:misc_RNA from 1 species